AAGUCGUAACAAGGUUUCCGUAGGUGAACCUGCGGAAGGAUCAUUACCGAGUCAGGGUCUCUCAGGCCCGAAACUCCAACCCCAUGUUUAAAUACCAUGUUGCUUUGGCGGGCCCGUCUUUAUUGACCGCCCGGAGAUGUAAUAGUCUCUGGCCAGUGUCCGCCAAUAGCCCCUUCAAAUUCUGGUUAAAUGUGAUGUCUGAAUAUAAUGAUUAAUAAAUCAAAACUUUCAACAACGGAUCUCUUGGUUCUG
rnacentral:misc_RNA from 1 species